GGACUUGUGGCGCAGCGGUAGCGCGUGUGAUUCCAGCAAUGAGGUGCGCUUGCACCAUCCAGUCUGAAUCCACAAGGUCAUCAGUUCAAAUCUGGUCGAGUUCA